CAAUAAACAGGGUCCCGGCGGUAAGAUGGCGGCUGCCGCGGAGUGCGAUGUGGUAAUGGCGGCGACCGAGCCAGAGCUGCUCGACGACGAAGAGGCGAAGAGGGAAGCAGAGACUUUCAAGGAACAAGGAAAUGCAUACUAUGCCAAGAAAGAUUACAAUGAAGCUUAUAAUUAUUAUACAAAAGCCAUAGAUAUGUGUCCUAAAAAUGCUAGCUAUUAUGGUAAUCGAGCAGCCACCUUGAUGAUGCUUGGAAGGUUCCGGGAAGCUCUUGGAGAUGCACAACAGUCAGUGAGGUUGGAUGACAGUUUUGUCCGGGGACAUCUACGAGAGGGCAAGUGCCAUCUCUCUCUAGGAAAUGCCAUGGCAGCAUGUCGCAGCUUCCAGAGAGCCCUAGAACUGGAUCAUAAAAAUGCUCAGGCACAACAAGAGUUCAAGAAUGCUAAUGCAGUCAUGGAAUAUGAGAAAAUAGCAGAAACAGAUUUUGAGAAGCGAGAUUUUCGGAAGGUUGUUUUCUGCAUGGACCGUGCCCUAGAAUUUGCCCCUGCCUGCCAUCGCUUCAAAAUCCUCAAGGCAGAAUGUUUAGCAAUGCUGGGUCGUUAUCCAGAAGCACAGUCUGUGGCUAGUGACAUUCUACGAAUGGAUUCUACCAAUGCAGAUGCUCUAUAUGUACGAGGUCUUUGCCUUUAUUAUGAAGAUUGUAUUGAGAAGGCAGUUCAGUUUUUCGUACAGGCUCUCAGGAUGGCUCCUGACCAUGAGAAAGCCUGCAUUGCCUGCAGAAAUGCCAAAGCACUCAAAGCAAAGAAAGAAGAUGGGAAUAAAGCAUUUAAGGAAGGAAAUUACAAACUAGCAUAUGAACUGUACACAGAAGCCCUGGGGAUAGACCCCAACAAUAUAAAAACAAAUGCUAAACUCUACUGUAAUCGGGGUACGGUUAAUUCCAAGCUUAGGAAACUAGAUGAUGCAAUAGAAGACUGCACAAAUGCAGUGAAGCUUGAUGACACUUACAUAAAAGCCUACUUGAGAAGAGCUCAGUGUUACAUGGACACAGAACAGUAUGAAAAAGCAGUACGAGACUAUGAAAAAGUGUAUCAGACGGAGAAAACAAAAGAACACAAACAGCUCCUAAAAAAUGCACAGCUGGAACUGAAGAAGAGUAAGAGGAAAGAUUACUACAAGAUUCUGGGAGUGGACAAGAAUUCCUCUGAGGACGAGAUCAAGAAAGCUUAUCGGAAACGGGCCUUGAUGCACCAUCCAGAUCGGCAUAGUGGAGCCAGUGCUGAGGUUCAGAAGGAGGAGGAGAAGAAGUUCAAGGAAGUUGGAGAAGCCUUUACUAUCCUCUCUGAUCCCAAGAAAAAGACUCGCUAUGACAGUGGACAGGACCUAGAUGAGGAGGGCAUGAAUAUGGGUGAUUUUGAUCCAAACAAUAUCUUCAAGGCUUUCUUCGGCGGUCCUGGAGGCUUCAGCUUUGAAGCAUCUGGUCCAGGGAGUUUCUUUUUUCAAUUUGGCUAAUGAAGGGCAACCACCCAGAACCCAGAAAAUGCAGAUUCACUCAGUUUAAUCUUGAAUGUGGAAACAGUUCACCUCCUCCCUUCAUCACGUCUCCAUGUACUUAGAGCAGUUUCGUUUUCUCAGUUGGAUGCCCUGUGUCUCUGUGAGUGGGGUGGAGCAAAGGGAACCAAUGCCCAAGACCGCGGGCAGGGGAGGGAGGCGGGGGUGGACAGGGAGGCAGCUUGUGAAUUUUUGUUUUACUGUUUAACUUUAUUAAAAAAGAAAAAAAAAGAAGAGAAUAAAAUGUUUUGACCCUU